AGCGAACGUUAGCGGCGGGCCUAACACAUGCAAGUCGAACGAGAAUGAGGGGGCAACUCCUCUAGUAAAGUGGCGGACGGGUGCGUAACACGUUGGUAAUCUACCUUCCGGCGGGGGACAACAGUCCGAAAGGAUUGCUAAUACCGCAUAACGUCGACGAGGUCUCCGGAUCUUGUCGGGAAAGACGGCCUCUCCUUGGAAGCUAGUCACCGGAAGAUGAACCUGCGGCCCAUCAGCUAGUUGGGAGGUAACGGCUCACCAAGGCGAAGACGGGUAGCUGGUCUGAGAGGAUGAUCAGCCACACUGGGACUGCGACACGGCCCAGACUCCUACGGGGGCAGCAGU
rnacentral:rRNA from 1 species